rnacentral:lncRNA from 1 species
UGGGGCAGGGAUGAACCUCCAGCUCCACUUAUGGGGCAGCCCCAUGGAUUUGCAGCUCCCUACUUAUGGGGCAGAGGUGAACUUCGGACCCCGACGCCACUUAUGGGGCAGGAGAGGACCCCCAACUCCACUUAUGGGGCAGAAGCUGACCCCCAUCGCCACUUAUGGGGCAGAGAACAACCCCCCAAUUCCACUUAUGGGGCAGAAACUGACUCCCUACUCUACUUAUGGGGCAAGAACAGCCCCCUAACCCCACUUAUGGGGCGGGAAGAGCCCCCACCUCCACUUAUGGGGCAGAAAUCGACCCCCAUCUCCACUUAUGGGGCAGAAACCGACCCCCAACUCCACUUAUGGGGCAGAAAUCGGCCCUGAACUCCACUUAUGGGGCAGGAACAGCCCCCUCACCCCACUUAU